AUAGUCUUCGGACUGAUGGCGAGCGGCGGACGGCUGAGUAACGCGUAGGAACAUACCCCAAAGUGAGGGAUAACUGCCCGAAAGGGUGGCUAAUACCGCAUGUGGUCUUCGGAUUAAAGCUUUAUGCGCUUUGGGAAUGGCCUGCGUCUGAUUAGCUUGUUGGUGAGGUAAUAGCUCACCAAGGCAACGAUCGGUAGCUGGUCUGAGAGGAUGACCAGCCAGACUGGAACUGAGACACGGUCCAGACUCC
rnacentral:rRNA from 1 species